GUGAGCGAUGGUUCUCAGUCUGCCUUUCUGACCCCGCUUCCCCUCCCUCCUCUGUCCCCCCUCCCCUCUCCUCUCCCUUCCCCCCUUCUCUCCCUCCCUUCCCUCCUCUCCCUCCCCCCUCCCUCCUCCUCUGCUUUUCCCUUUUCUCCUCCCCUCCCCCAGGCCCCUCCGCAGUCUUCUCUGGCCGGGACUCCCCAGAGCCUGGCCGUGGCCUCAUCCAGGGGCAGGACUCAGAGAGCGCAGGCCCCGGGCUUCCUUUAGGCCCACCAGCCAGCUCCGACCGGCAAACUGCACGAUGGACGCAGCCACUGAGCCAGGAUCGGACCCACGACGAGGACAAUUAGGAAGAAACCGCGGAUGCAGAGGACGUGGAAGACCUCGUCACAAAUCGAUUCUCCAAAGGUCUGAAAGUGCAGACGUUUGCCGGGACUGUGCAUCUCAAAGCUGGCCGUCACACAUCUCCGUCCGAAAGGGCUUGCAAAGCUCGGCACGCUCGGCGGAGAGCAAGCUUGCAGUAUUUCACCCCGUGUUAGAGAAGGGAUCGAAGUCGCAAAGCUGACGGCUUGGAUGCAGCUUGACAGAGGAGUCUCCGUGUGUAUAAGAUGACAGGGUUGAAGAGUGCUCUUUGGUGACUACAAUCUGCAUGAUGAUUUGGGAGAACUGGACUUAACGCGCAUGCAAUACACUUCACGGAGUUGGUUACCGCUUCCUCUUCUGUGGGUCCUCUGGGGUUUGGAGAGAGGAACUUUUAAAAGGGCAACAGCAACAAUGAAACCAACUUGCCCCAAAGUGUCCACCUCUUACUGUCCUUCUCCAAAAUCGUUAUAGGUUUCUGGAUCUCUGCGGGCAGAGAGUGCAACAAUCACCAGAGAAUUAGUAUCCAGCUUAUCCUUUUCUUUUUUUAUUGUGGAUUCUGAAGCAGCAAAUAUUCAGCGACAGGUAAAACGUAAUAAAGAAUGUAGCUGUUGUAGUCGCUAAGUAGUGUCCGACUGGUUUGUGACCCUCCAUGGACUGUAGCCCCCCAGGCUCCUUCAUCCAUGGGAUUUCGCAGGCAAGAAUACUGGAGUGGGUUGCCAGUUCCUCCUCCAGGGGAUCUUCCCAAACCUGCAUCUCUCCUGAAUUGCAGGCAGAUUCUUUACUGCUCAGCCACCCAUAAAGAAUACUAGGGUUGAAAUUGCUGAGCGAGCUGAGCUAUCCUGAUGACUUCUAAACAUUGAACAGCAUCCUGAUUUCCAUCUGACUUAUUAAUAUUUGAUAGGCUUUGAGAUAUUGAGAUAUUGCCUGGAAAUUAAGAAAUGGAUCUCAGAAUGCUAUGAACAUGAGUGAAGUCAUCCUUUUUGAAACAAGCACUGAUAUUGCUGAAACCACCACUUGUAAAGUAAGAAGACC
ensembl:lncRNA